GGCAGGCUUGUUGCCAGGGGGUGCGGCAUGGCAACACCUGACUGCCAAUCAGGUUACAGGAGAGCAGUCUCCACCAAUGGGCAGUGAAGAAGAGUUGAUUGGCAACCUCUGGGCAGGGCCAGGACUGCCUGAGGCAACCCCCAGGGGUAUAAAAGGCAGGGCAGCCUUUUUGUGGGUGAGCACAUGGUGUAUUAGCUCCGUGCUCCCCGUGCUGUAACUUUUUCUUAUUCAUACUUUGUUGUGUUUUUGUAAGGUUUAAUAAACCUUUGAAAUUUUAAAAGAAGGAGGUCGUUUCUCAUACGGGCCUUCCAGUUUUUCAGCCCUGGCAUUAGUGCAGCUGUGAGGAAGAUGGACAUGGAGGUGUACUGCAAUUCUUCCACCAGAUAAUAAGCCACUGACAGAUAAUCAGUCAGGUCUGGACCUGCCAACUGUCUGAAGCUCUGUAUGCAAAGUGUUCUGCAGUUCAAGCCAGCAUUGUUACAUUGGUUCAGAAGAUGGAAUGGUAAAAUAAAAAACACUGAAAUGUUUAAAUUCCUACAUUUUUAUUUGCAAGAAGAGUCACAAGGGAUCAAGACACACACUGUAGCUCCUGAACAGGCAACAGAUAGAUGCCAUAACCAGAUUCUGCUCACUCUGAAGCUUCAUGUGGAAAUGCUGCAUCCUUCUUCAUGCAAAAGAGCCUGGCUUCCUGGAAAGGCCAAAGAGAGCAACAUUAGAGAAAAUACUAACCCUACGAACAUGAGGAUAAUGCCACUUACAAAAGUAACUCCAUUAAUGCAUGAAGGUGUCUGAAAGUUGAGGCUAUAAGACAGCAGUGAAUUUAAUGCCAGAUAUUUAGAGGAGGCAGGGGAGCAGUCUUAAGUAUUUUCUUCACUUGAUAGAACUAUCAGGUAUAAAAAACAGUAACAAAACCAACAAAAACCAAAGAAACAUUCCCCUUCCUCCCCCCACGAAAAAAGCCCCAAAACAACCAAAUCAAGAAAUAAAGGUUAUGUCUCAGUAGUUUUAACCUGGUUC
rnacentral:lncRNA from 1 species